rnacentral:lncRNA from 1 species
GUCCGAUUAUUUUGCUUUUUGUCCGAUACUUUUGCUUUUUGUCCGUUGCUUUUUGUCCGUUUUGCUUUUUGUCCGAUAAUUUUGCUUUUUGUCCGAUACUUUUGCUUUUUGUCCGUUGCUUUUUGUCCGUUUUGCUUUUUGUCUGAUAAUUUUGCUUUUUGUCCGACACUUUUGCUUUUUGUCCGUUUUGCUUUUUAGCUCACCUGGACCAUAGGACUAAGUGAGCUUUUCUCAUUUUCUCAUUAUUCGUCGUCGUCAUUAAUUUUUACAAAAAUCUUCUCUUCUGAAACUACUGGCAAAAUUAAAGCAAACAUGGCCAAAAUCAUCCUUAGGGUAUUUAGUUUCAAAAAAGUAUCCGAUGACCCCGCCCAAUAAUUAAGAUGGCCG